rnacentral:sRNA from 1 species
UGAUUCUUCAGAUACACGUAAUCUCCA